UGCAAAAACAGAUGGGUAACUAAUUGAUCGCAGCCAGUUACAGAUUUCUUUGUUCCUUCUCCACUCCUACUGCUUUAUUCGACUACCAUUUA
ensembl:misc_RNA Y_RNA Y RNA